UCCGGUUUCUUGGCUGACAGUUCUGGGGUGGUUGAAGGUAGGCUGAGGUUCGUUGGUCUGGGGUUCUUCUACCACUGGUGACACGUUUGCGGGGGUGCUAAGGCCCCGUUGUUGCAUUAUCUGCCCCAACCAGUGGGCGGUGCUCUGUAGUUGGAGGGCCAUGGUUUGGAGGUCUUGGUUGGAUAAGGUGGCCGCGGAAGCAUUCCCUGCCAAGCUUGGCGAGGAGUUGAAAGG
rnacentral:lncRNA from 1 species